UAUGGUUUUAAAAAUUUAUUUUUAAUUUGUUUUACAUGUAAAUUUUAGUAUGAAUUUUUAUUUAUUUUAAUAAUAAUAAUAAAUUAUUUUCAGUAAUUAAAAUUAAAAAUUUAAGAAAUUAAGAUUUAGUAAUAUUAAAAUUAUUAACAAAUUUUGUGCCAGCAGUUGCGGUUAUACAAAAAAUAAAAUAAAUUUUUUUAGUUUUUAAAAAAAAAAAUAUUUUAAAUUAAAUAUUAAAUUAUUAGGUGAAAUUUUAAUUUAAUUAAAAUUUUAUUUUUUUUUUGGUUAAAUAAAUUUAAUUAUAAACUAGGAUUAGAUACCCUAUUAUUAAAAAGUUAAUUUAAAAUACUAAAAUAUUAAAUAAUUAAUUAUUGAAACUUAAAUAAUUUGGCGGUAUUUUAGUUCAUUUAGAGGAAUCUGUUUAAUAAUUGAUAAUCCACGAAUAAAUUUACUUAAUUUAUUAUUUUAUAUAUCGUUGUUAAAAAAAUAUUUUUUAUAAAAAAUAAUAUUUUAAAAUUUUAAAUAUAAAUUAAUUCAAAUCAAGAUGUAGAUUAUAAUUAAGAAUAUAAUGGAUUACAAUAAAAUUAUUUAAAUGAAUAUUAUUUUGUAAUAAUUAAUUAAAAGUGGAUUUAAAUGUAAUUUUAUAUAGUUUUAUAAAAUGAUUAAAAAUUAAAAUAUGUACAUAUUGCCCGUCACUUUCAUUUUAAAAUUGAAAUAAGUCGUAACAAAGUAGAGGUACUGGAAAGUGUUUCUAGAAAGAA
rnacentral:ncRNA from 1 species